CAGUCGCCGCGGUAAAACGUAGGGUGCAAGCGUUAAUCGGAAUUACUGGGCGUAAAGCGUGCGCAGGCGGUUCGCUAAGACAGAUGUGAAAUCCCCGGGCUUAACCUGGGAACUGCAUUUGUGACUGGCGGGCUAGAGUAUGGCAGAGGGGGGUAGAAUUCCACGUGUAGCAGUGAAAUGCGUAGAGAUGUGGAGGAAUACCGAUGGCGAAGGCAGCCCCCUGGGCCAAUACUGACGCUCAUGCACGAAAGCGUGGGGAGCAAACAGGACUAGAUACCCCUGUAGUCCCUGUCUCUUAUAC
rnacentral:rRNA from 1 species